rnacentral:rRNA from 1 species
AGAGUUUGAUCAUGGCUCAGAAUCAACGCUGNCGGCGUGCCUCAGACAUGCAAGUCGACGAUUAAACUUUCCUUCGGGAAAGAUAUAAAGUGGCGCACGGGUGAGUAACACGUAAGUAAUCUACCUUCGGAUGGGGAAUAACAGUCGGAAACGACUGCUAAUACCGCAUAAUGCAGCGGCACCUAAUGGUGACAGUUGUUAAAGUAUUUAUACGCCUGAAGAGGAGCUUGCGGCAGAUUAGCUAGUUGGUAAGGUAAUGGCUUACCAAGGCUACGAUCUGUAGCCGACCUGAGAGGGUGGUCGGUCACACUGACACUGAAUAACGGGUCAGACUCCUACGGGAGGCAGCAGUCGGGAAUUUUGGGCAAUGGGCGAAAGCCUGACCCAGCAACGCCGCGUGAAGGAUGAAGUCUUUCGGGAUGUAAACUUCGUAAAAAUAGGAAGAAUAAAUGACGGUACUAUUUGUAAGGUCCGGCUAACUACGUGCCAGCAGCCGCGGUAAUACGUAGGGACCAAGCGUUGUUCGGAUUUACUGGGCGUAAAGGGCGCGUAGGCGGCGUGUCAAGUCAAUUGUGAAAUCUCCGAGCCUAACUCGGAACGGUCAAUUGGUACUGAUGUGCUAGAGUGUAGAAGGGGCAAUCGGAAUUCUUGGUGUAGCGGUGAAAUGCGUAGAUAUCAAGAGGAACACCUGAGGUGAAGACGGGUUGCUGGUCUAACACUGACGCUGAGGCGCGAAAGCUAGGGUAGCAAACGGGAUUAGAUACCCCGGUAGUCCUAGCCCUAAACGAUGAAUACUUGGUGUCUGGAGUUUUAUUCUCUGGGUGCCGUCGCUAACGUUUUAAGUAUUCCGCCUGGGGAGUACGCACGCAAGUGUGAAACUCAAAGGAAUUGACGGGGACCCGCACAAGCGGUGGAGCAUGUGGUUUAAUUCGACGCAACGCGAAGAACCUUACCUGGACUAGAAUGCGAGGGAAGAUUGGGUAAUGCCAAUUGUCCGGGCAACCGGACCCAAAGCAAGGUGCUGCAUGGCUGUCGUCAGCUCGUGUCGGAGAGU